rnacentral:rRNA from 1 species
CCUACGGGUGGCUGCAGUCGAGAAUCAUUCACAAUGGGGGAAACCCUGAUGGUGCGACGCCGCGUGGAGGAAUGAAGGUCUUCGGAUUGUAAACCCCUGUCAUGUGGGAGCAAAUUAAAAAGAUAGUACCACAAGAGGAAGAGACGUCUAACUCUGUGCCAGCAGCCGCGGUAAGACAGAGGUCUCAAGCUUUGUUCGGAAUCACUGGGCGUAAAGCGUGCUUAGGCUGUUUCGUAAGUCGAGUGUGAAAGGCGAUGGCUCAACCCGCGGACGGCACAUGAUACUGCGAGACUAGAGUAAUGGAGUGGGAACUGGAAUUCUCGGUGUAGCAGUGAAAGGCGUAGAUAUCGAGAGGAACACUCGUGGCGAAGGAGAGUUCCUGGACAUUAACUGACGCUGAGGCACGAAGGCCAGGGGAGCGAAAGGGAUUAGAUACCCGGGUAGUC